rnacentral:lncRNA from 1 species
CAUCCAAUCGCCCUCGUUAUUAACAUAUCAUUAAUGGUCUGCUUGUCAAAACUAAGAAAAUGACGUCUGCCUAUUCCUAUUAAUUAAAUUCCAGACUCUAUUUGGGUAUCAUGAGUUUUCCCAUUGGUGUCCUCUCUGUUCCAAGAUCCCGUCCAGGGCACCACAGUGCAUUAGUUAUCACGUCCCCCCAGGUUCCUCUGAUGUGACAGCCUCUCAUUCUUGUCUUGUUUUUAUGACCAUGACAAGCGGUGUCCUGAGACCUUGGUUUGGUGUAGUUUAUCACAAAUGUCCAAAUGAGGCAGUAUCAAGAGUUGAGAGAGCCAUAACCAAGUCACCUGAGAGUCAGGCUUUGGUGCCUCCUGGCAGUGCAGGGAAGUUGCCAUUUCAGUUCAUCGCUGCACUGCUGCCUGGGUUCUGUCCUCAUGCAGUGACUCAGGGAGACAGAUUCUCUUGAGGCUGGGAACCUGAGUCCAUGGCAAGUGGUAGGCUUCGGUGACCAGGUAGCUUACCAAGGAAUUAGAACCUCCUGCCCCUCCACGUCCACUGCCAAUUCCAAGUGUCUCGUAACCACGAUAUGGUGCGGGCCCAUCUCCUUCGGUUCCCAGGCUAGGGGUCCAAUCGGAGCUGUAGCCACUGGCCUACUCCACAGCCAUAGCAACGCCAGAUCCGAGCUGCAUCUGUGACCUGCACCACAGCUCAUGGGAACUCGGGAUCCUUAACCCACUGAGCAAGGCCAGGGAUCGAACCUGUGUCUUCAUGGAUACUAGUCAGGUUCGUUAACUGCUGAACCACGACGGCAACUCCCCAAGAUUUUUUUUUUUUUUUUUCUGGUCAUCUUAACUUCAUACAGAGCAUUUGCAUUUGCCUUUUGCCUUCUUUGUGAUGGUGACUGGAAGUGAGAGCCACCAUCUGAAAAUGGCUUCUCCAUAGGCUUGGAGGAUAGACGUGUGCCUCUUAGCAGCCUGUGACUGAGGUCAGUGAGAGGAACUCUCCGACCAGCCCUGAUGAAGAAGCCAUGGUCGGUUGUCUGGGGAAAGUUUUGUCUGAAUCACUUGAAUCAGUGAAGUCAGAGCAGACUUUUCAUUGUGAUUAUGUGGGUCAUGCAGUCCUGAUGCCUCCCGGUGGACCUCAGUAAAGGGUGACUAAUGGAUCACAGGGUCGCCUGGUUAAGUGGAGGAGAAAAAUCUGGGCAGCCAGGGGCAAGGCUUGAGGCAGUCCCCGUCUGUGGCCACCCUCCGGCCAAGGCUGUCUGCUGUCACCCAAAGACACUGACUCAUCAGAGCCUCAUUAGAGGAAACUUCAGACACUCCCGGGCAGGUUCACGUACCCCCAGCUUUGCCCCUUGCCCCUGGCGCCUUGGGUGGUUGAUACCUCGGGGUCAAGAGGGCAGAGCCUGUGGCCGUGAGCAGAGCUGCUGUGGGAGAGCUCGCGGAAGGCAGCACUCCGUGUGAACCACGCUGUCAUUUGUGAGAGGGUCAGCCCAGCGCAGGCUCUGCUCUUCGUGAUGUCACCACUGAAGUCCCCUGGCUCUGAAUCCCAGUUGUUUCUUAUGUUAACUCUUUCGGUGUUGCUGUUAGUUGGUAAUAAGAGAAGAGGUUCUGAAGAUUACUCUGUAUUUUACCUUCAGUAACGUCCUGGCGUUCCCUGGUGAGGUUUGCAUCUUUCUUUCUCUCCCCCCGGAGCCCCACCUACCGGCUUCCUCUUCUAGUCCCCAUCCCCGACUCUCCUGCCUCUCUCUUUUAUACGGUUGCUUUUUAAUUCUUCAGAGCCCUUGUCACUUCAGAACUCAAAUAGGAUGCCCAAGCUGAAUGACUUAAAAUAAAACCUUAGCCCAGGAUCUUGGGUGAGCAGAUGUUCUUCUAAGUUGGGAGGUUAAACCACGUGCCUGGGCAAGCUGGAAUCCAGCAUGGCCUCUGGGACCAGUCUCCCCUGGUAAGUGUGGUGUCUCCUGCUGCAGGGUCUCUCUCUGGGUCCCCAUGCAAACAUGUUGUCAGGAGAUGAGCUCAAAAGCAAGCUCACCAAAAUGAAGCCCCCAAGGAGUGUGACCUCUGCGCCCCCAGCUGAUGUGCUCUUCCAGCAGCCGGGCCAGAAGCAGGUUUCAUCAGCUGGUUCGCAAGCUGGUUUCAUCUCUACCUGAGGAAAGAUAAAGACCUCUGCUCAGGAAAUGCGAGCCCCUGUUCCCAGACCUUGCUCCUCUCAAGCUGAUGGACAGGUAUGGAAGGAAUGCAUUUGUUGGGAGGAAUUCAGUGGUGCCCAGGCACAAAUGGAAGUGACAUUCUUAUCUGUCUUUUUUCUACUUUGGGGAAAAGAAAAAAAAAAAAAAAAAAA